rnacentral:rRNA from 1 species
UAGGGAAUAUUGGUCAAUGGAGGGAACUCUGAACCAGCCAUGCCGCGUGCAGGAAGAAGGUCCUCUGGAUUGUAAACUGCUUUUGAUUAGGAACAAACGACCCAUGCGUGGGGCAUUGAGUGUACUAAUAGAAUAAGCCACGGCUAACUACGUGCCAGCAGCCGCGGUAAUACGUAGGUGGCAAGCGUUGUCCGGAUUUAUUGGGUUUAAAGGGUGCGUAGGCGGCGUUAUAAGUCAGCGGUGAAAUAUCUAUGCUUAACAUAGAGGGUGCCAUUGAUACUGUAAUGCUUGAGUGCAAACGAGGUAAGCGGAAUUGAAGGUGUAGCGGUGAAAUGCAUAGAUAUCUUCAAGAACACCGAUAGCGAAGGCAGCUUACUAGAAUGCAACUGACGCUGAGGCA